AUCAAGUUAGUUUAUUGAAAACAUCAAUCUGUGGAGUUGAAGAUGAAAUUUUUUCACUUGAUC
rnacentral:tRNA from 1 species